rnacentral:antisense_RNA from 1 species
CUUCACCGAGCCCAGCCACAGGGGGUGCUCGCGGUUCCGGCCGUAGGUGGCCAGCAGGGCGUCCGCCUC